rnacentral:rRNA from 1 species
UUUCGACCUGGAAUCGGGCGAGGGCACCCGCCGAACUUAAGCAUAUCAUUGAGCGGAGGAAAAGGAAACCAAAAGGGAUUCCCCCAGUAACGGCGAGCGAAAAGGGAAAAGCCAAGCGUCGAACCCGCGAUCCCAACGGGUCAGCGGGCAUGUGACGUUCGGGAGGCGGUCGUCUCCGCCGAGGUACGGACGCGCUUCGCCCCGAAGUCCGCUUAAACGCGGUCAUCCGGAGUUGGUGUAAGGCCAUUAGCGGGGGCUCCGGCAUCGGCGAGACCGUUGAGCGUUCGCGCUCGCUCCCAAGAGUCGGGCUGCUUGAGAGUGUAGCUUUAAGACGGUGGUAAACCCCAUCGGAGGCUGGCGAUGGAUAUAAAGGCGAGACCGACAGCGAACAAGUACCGUGUGGGAAAGUUGAAAAGCACUUUGAAGAGAGAGUUAAAGAGUCCGUGAAACCGUCCGGAGGGUAAGCGGGUGGAACUUCGAGGGGCCGAAGUGCGGAUUCAACCGGCGAGUUCGACUGGGCCGGGUCGGAGACGCCCUCAAAGGGCGAUGCUGACCUAAGUCCCGCUGCCGACUCGUUGGUGCAUUCCCGUCACGUUAGGCGACCGUGGCCUGUGGGGGACUCCCGCGAUGAGACGAGGCGUACCGUUCGCGUUGGCGGUUCUGCCCUCGGGUAGACCAUCGACCGACCGCCCUGUUCACCGGAGAAGUCGAUCCCUACAGUGGUUGUGAAGCCGAACGCGCGUCUCUGACGUUUGUUCCGGCGCUAGCCCGCCGACCUUCACGUGAGAAGACGGGAAAGCUAACGUAUCCCGUUCCCGGCGAGCAGGCGUUCAGGUAACCUUUCGGGGUCCGGUUCGCUCUCGCUCGGGCCGUCGUCGGUCGGUCCGUUGGCUAGCGCAGCGAAAGCGAAGGCCGGACGUGAGGAUCGCUUCGGCUAUCGCGGUCCUUCCCGAAUAGGGUUCCAUCCGACCCGUCUUGAAACACGGACCGAGGAGUCUAGCGCGUACGCGAGCCGAAGGUUGUGUAGUGCAUCCGUGGGCGUAAGUGAAAGCAAAUCGGAGGAACCUUGCCCUUCGCGGCGAGGCGCACUCCGCGGGCACGAGUAGGUGCACCGAGAGCGUUAGCGCUGGGACCCGAAAGAUGGUGAACUAUUCCCGGUCGGGACGAAGCCGGAGGAAACUCCGGUGGAAGUCCGUAGCGAUUCUGACGUGCAAAUCGGUCGUCUGAGCUGGGUAUAGGGGCGAAAGACUAAUCGAACCGUCUGGUAGCUGGUUCCUUCCGAAGUUUCCCUCAGGAUAGCUGGUGCAGGCCGAAAGCGGAGUCGUAACGCGGUAAAGCGAAGGAUUAGAGGUAUUCGGGGCGUAUAUCGGUCCUCGACCUAUUAUCAAACUUUAAAUGCUUACGGACCGAGGCGCGUGCGGAAGACGCUCCUUCGGUAUAGGAUCCGGGCGGCGGCCAAGUGGGCCACUCUUGGUAAGCAGGACAGGUGCUGCGGGAUGAACCGAACGAAGGGUUAAGGCGCCCAACUCGAUACCGAUCCGAUACCAGGAAAGGCGUUGCUCGCUAGAGACAGCGGGACGGUGGCCAUGGAAGUCGGCAUCCGCGUAGGAGUGUGUAACGACUCUCCUGCCGAAGCGAGUGGCUCUGAAAAUGGAUGGCGCUAGAGUAUCGGGCCUAUACCCUUCCUCCGAGGCGACGACGGCCACGUUUGCGUGGCGAAAACGAGCUUAGGUACUUCGGAGAGUAGGAAGGUCGCGGCGUUGUGCACGGAAGGGUUUGGGCGUGAGCCCUCCCGGAGCCGACGUCGGCGCAGAUCUUGGUGGUAGUAGCGGGUGCUCGAGCGGGAACCUGGAGAAUUGACGAGGAGAAGGGUUCCGUGUGAACAGCCUUUGCACAUGGGUGAGUCGGUCCUAAGUCGAAGGAGAACUCCGGGGCUCGCGACGACGGCGAUCGUGGAACGUUGACGCCGCGCGAACCUCAGACGAGAGGGGAUCCCGUAGCGAUUCGGGAACCCGUUCACGGGUCGCUCUCCCUGCAGUUUAGAUUGUAGUGGGAGGCACCGUCGAUGUGCCUUGCGUUCGAAAGAUCGCGCGCCGUAAGGCGACGAGACCCGGGGAAGCCGACCGUCGCUCGAAAGGCAGAGUUAUCUGUUCUGGCUGACGCCCCACCGUUCCCACGAAUCGCUCCGCGCGGAGGCAGGGACACGGGCGCGUCGUGAAAACGCCAGAGCCCCGUGGAUUCUGCGGGGUCCUUCGAGAGGCGGACGGACCGUGAAAACCCGGGCGAACGGCAUAAGACUCUCCCGUGACGGUACGUACCGAACUCCGCAUCAGGUCUCCAAGGUGAACAGCCUCUGGGUCUAGUCGAAUGUAGGUAAGGGAAGUCGGCAAAAUGGAUCCGUAACUUCGGGACAAGGAUUGGCUCUGUGACGUCGGACCGGCUGGGCACGACACGCGGAAGCGAUCGGGCGACCACCUCCGUUGGGACUAGCAGCCCUCGCGGCUCGCCGGACCCACGUUCGAGUGGACACGCCGCGCGGAAGGGUCGUGCUUCGGGGUCAGUUUUCGUUGCCCGACGGGUUAUGUGCUCCCGUAGGCGGGCUGUGCCCGCGAGGAUCGGUCGAUGCGUAAGGCGAGGCCGGCUCCCUUCGGGGUCUCGGUCGGUACGUGGGCGAUGCUACGAUCACGUUCGGUGCUUCCGUUGGGUGUGCUCUCGGUGGGUGGACGAGGACGGACUCUAUCGGCCUGUGACCAUCGGCGAACUCGGAACCGGCACGGACCGGGGGAAUCCGACUGUCUAAUUAAAACAAAGCAUUGCGAUGGCCAUCACUCGGUGUUGACGCAAUGUGAUUUCUGCCCAGUGCUCUGAAUGUCAAAGUGAAGAAAUUCAAUCAAGCGCGGGUAAACGGCGGGAGUAACUAUGACUCUCUUAAGGUAGCCAAAUGCCUCGUCAUCUAAUUAGUGACGCGCAUGAAUGGAUUAACGAGAUUCCCACUGUCCCUAUCUACUAUCUAGCGAAACCACAGCCAAGGGAACGGGCUUGGCGGAAUCAGCGGGGAAAGA